UGGUUCAGCUGGAUCAGCUGGAUAGUGACUCAGUGGAGUACUGGUUUGAGAAGCACAACCAUGGAGGCAGCGAACACUACAGCCUCAAAACUGCGUGUCAACCGCAGAAAUACGUCUGCAUAUCUCAGAAAUAUCUCAGCCUCAGUGACACCAAGCGGGAUUUGGCUGAAGUCAAAGAUGAGGCAAAGUAGAUGUAUGCAUUCACCAACAGCCUUUUGCACACAUUUACUACAAUCCGCUCUGUCUACAAACUGAAGAGGAAGACAGUUUAUCUUUAGCUGAAUCCAAGCAGAACUCUCUCUUCCUGCUGUGAUUUGAUAAAGUAGCUGGACUAAGUAGAGCUACAAACUGGAGAUUAGUCUGGCUGGCUAAUUUUGUGUUCUUGGUAUAGGGAGAAAAAUGCUUUGGUAGUUGGGUUGGGUGGUAAAAGCACAAAAUAAAACUUUGCUCUUUUUUUCAUAUUGUAAACUACAGGUGGUGCAAAGGGAUGAGACUACUGGCCAAUCUCAAAGAAACUGUACAAACAUUGUCCAUAUGUUUUUAAAAAGAAUUUAUUACAAAUCCCAAUUCUUUAGAUUUUCGUAUUCAUCGUUCCCCUGUGAUUGCAAUAUACA